rnacentral:lncRNA from 1 species
GUCCACACUACGCCACCAAAAACGGAAAUCACGUGACCAUUCGUGCACUCUGAGCAUGCGCGUUCUAGUAUAAACAGAAAGCAUGUGUCUCGCUCGGCAUUUGGUUAUUGUUAGUCAACAAACGUCGGUUGUACAUUAAACGCGAUGACUAAGAAAGCAAGAGAGGUAUUUUUGUGGACAGACGACGAGGUCGAGUUGUUACUAAACGUAACAAAUGAAUAACUGCACAAUGGCGCCUAAAACAGACAACAGUGCAAACAACACUCCCAUUUCUGUGCCCAAGUUGUUUACAGUAUUGUCUUCCGGUAGCGUUAAAGCCAUGUGUUAUAGUCAUGUGAUAGGGGAAGGAUAUGCAAUGACACAAAAGCCAGUAUGCAAUCAGGUGGCGAAUCUCAGCAGUCC